rnacentral:miRNA from 9 species
AAAGUUCUGAGACACUCCGACU